AGCUAUACAUAUAAUGAAUAUUUAUUUUAUUUGUACAUUUUACUAUAAUUAAAUAAACUGAGUAGUCCGUUUUGGUGAAUGAUGCCGCCGCGUCGGGGCUUGACCGUGUGUAGACCCCCCGACGCCGACGACGUUGAUGAUGGCAGAACUUUAUGUAAUGUUUUUAGAAUGUAUGUUCCGUUAAAAACUACAAAAUAAAAAAAAAAUCAUAUAAUACUAAAUAUUAACCGCGACUCUAUUUUCAAUUGCAUACAAGUGCGUGUGUGUGAGUGUUUGUGUGUGUAUGCAAGUGCGUGCGUGUGUGUGUGUGCGUUUGCCGCGUUGAAAUGAACGAUGACGUGGACGACGACGUCGACGUCGACGUCGACGCCGACGAUGCAGCCGUCGCCUAAAUCGCUGCUGUCUGUCUGCCUAUGUGUGUGUGUGUUUGUGCUUGUGCGUGCAUGUGUGUGUGUGUUGCUGUGCCAAAUGGCUAUGGCAAAAUAAAACUAAAGCAGCUGUUUCCGGUAUUUGAUUGAUAGUGAACUGGCAGUUUGUUUAUCUCGCGCACACGGACCGACCGGAGACCCGCCUGCUGCUGUUGCUGCUCCAGCCGCAGCCACAGGCGCAGCUACAACCGAUGCCGCUGACGCUGCCCCUGGCCAUUUCUCUCUCACUCGAUUAUGCUGCACACGCAUCACAUGGCAUGGAUGGGCCAAUCCAGUGGCAAACGUCGCUGCUGCCGCCGCCGUCGCCGCUGCUGCUGCUGCAUUUUGCGGAUGCUAUUUGGGGCCGCUGUUCGUCGGCGCACUUAUUUUUAAAUUACUGAAAAUGUUGCAAGCGCACACAAGCAUGGGCACACACACACACACUCAUUCAAUUUAAAUUUAACUGCAAAAUAUUUCACUCACACUGGAAGGGAGGCAGCAGCAAUAAUAACAGCAACAGCAGCAACAACAACAGCAAUUUCUUGGCUUGCGCUCUCUCAUCCCACACUCUCUCUCUCACACACACUCUCUGAGAGAACAGCUGUUUGCCUUGCAAGCUGAGCUUAGUUAGGCCUAAGCACGACACGACGUGUUGGACACGUGCAAGUUGUAUGACAGCGGAGCAAAGAGUUUGUGUUUAUUAGUUAUUUCCAUUUGCUGCUGUUGUUGUUGUUGUUGUUGUUAAUUAAUGCAAAGUGCAGUAACCGUUUUGCAUAAUUGACUGGCAAGCGACUGCGGCUGCGACCCUCGUUGUGGGCACAUUAUUCAAUCAUAAUUCGCGCGGUCAGUCAAACCAACCCAACGCAAAUUUCAAACGCUCUUCACUUGAGCGAGUGUCUGUGUGUGUGUGUGUGUGUGCAUGUGUGUUUGUGUGCGUGCAUGUUUGUCGCCGCUGAUAGCCCCACAGUUCGCCGGGUCACCUUUGCCUAUGCAAAAAAAAAAAAAUAAAAACAAAAUUUAACUGUAAUCAGCGGCGACUUUGCGGCACACUACACACCCAACAAACAAACUGAGAUGGCGAACGGGUCUGAUAAGCGCACGAGACCUGCCAAUUCGCUUCAAACUGGUCUUUGCCUCAUCGCUGUCCUCGCCUCUGCCUCUGCCUCUGCCUCUGUCGCUGCCGCUGCCAUUGUCGCUGCCUCCUAUCUCUGUCGCUGUCGCUGAUUGACACAGUUUGGGUCGCUUUCUUAUAUUGAUGAAUGGAAACCGAACUGAAACGUUGGCACAGCAUUUUUUUUUAUUGAAGUGUGCUAUAUUUAACGAAGCGAGUAGAUGGCAUGCAAGUAUUGCCAUUUGAGUAACUGUAUUGGCUCGCCUGCUGCUCUCUCAAUAACCGCAGCACACACACACACACACACACGCACACGCACGCACUGACAGCUCUAAUGAAUGAAGUUGAUAAGAGACGAACAAAGUGAGCUGCUGCAACGGUUGCCAAGUGCCUUGCCAUGGUAAAUGGAUUGAACGGGCCAGUUCGAAUAACUGCAAAUGCACCUCUUUAUUUGCAUGUGUGUGUGUGUGUAAAUUGAGAGCUUUUGAAAUUCGGCACCCAAAAGCUGAGAUACUAACCGUAAAUAAUGCCAAAUUGCAGCAGUAAACACAGAUAAGUUCAGCUGCAGAUUCGUGAAUAUAAAUAUAAACAAUUGGAAUAUUUAGAAAAUAAAUAAAUCUCAAGUAUAUCUCAACAAGUGCACACGAAUAUAUACAUACAUAUAAAUUUAUAUAAAUGUGUGAGUUAUGGACUGUUCGACCUUAACCCUAUUGCAAAUCUAUUGGAACGAUCUUGAGUCGAAAUAUUAUAUGGAGAUGCGAGGAAGCUAGCCAAACUGCAGGACUUAGCACAGGCCCAUCGUCGUUGUGUGUGGCUUGUUGUUGUUGUUGUUGGCUUGUCUCGUUUAUUGAUCGUGUUGCUGUGCACACACAACGCCACACACACACACACACACACACACACACACAGGCGACGCACACGCACAGUUGCAGUUACAUACGCAAUUCAAUGAAGAAAUGCUCCAAGUCCAAGUCAAUGACCCGGAAAUUGUGUCUAAAAAAGCAGCAACAACAACAACAACAGCUACACCCAGCAGAAGCAACAGUCACGCAGCCAGGCAAUAACAACAACAACAACAACAGCAACAGCAACAACAACAACAACAGCAUCACAUUGACGACUUCAGUAUAAAACUUUUACCUAUUCAGCAGCGCAUGCGGCUGCGCCAACUGCACUGCGCCGCAGUCCAAUGAACCAGCCACGCAUUUGCUGCCCGCAGCUUUUGCCAGAGCUGCGAUUGCAACAGCAACAACAACAACAGCACGCGUCGAUAACUCGCGACAACUGCACACUGAGCAACAACAACAACAACAACAACAAGAACAAGAGAAAAAAAAAAACAAGAACAACUGCAACAAAGUCGACAUCGACAAUCAAAAUCAACGCAAUUAAUGCUCAUCCGGCUGGCAAAGCGCAGCUCCACAGUGAGCCCUUGGCAUGUUGUACAAUUUUCAUAGCCGCCAGGGUUGCCAGGUCACAUGUCUAAUAUGCAUAAAUAUAACAUAUUGUGCAUGUGUCGCUCCGUCUCUAUGAUAUAUGUAUAUAGGCUUUGAUCAAUUUUUAUUGCAUAAAAUGUGUAUCGAAAAAAAUUAAGCACAAAAGUUCAGUGCCAGCGGGCAUGUCGGCCCAAUCGAACCGCAGUGGCAAUCCCCUUACUUAUAAUGAGAAUUUAUGUGCUGACACGAUGCGCACACAACAUUUAUAAUCUUGCAAAGAAGAAGAAUAUGCAAGCUACAAUUACACUGCGCUACAAAAGUAUAACACAUUUAUCCAUCAUACUUGAGCAUAAAACUUAUCGCUAAAUUUCAAUAAGUUAGGUUAUGUUUGUUUAUGUUAGGUUAGGUUAGCUUAAGUGAGGUUAUGUUCACAUCUGCUGCCAGCCUUAAUAUAAUUCUUAGAGUUCUUUAAAACUAAUCAAUAAUUCAAUCAAAUUCAAUUCAAACGCAAAACUUAUAUUCAAACAUUCUCUUCUUUUCUUCCAGUUAGAUUGGCUGACUAGCCCCCAUUGCCAGUGCUGCCCAUUGCAAUGCAGAACGCAUCUAAUUUUCGACAGCAGCAAGUGCCACACACACACACGCAUACGCACAAUUGUGAAUCACUUGCAUAUUGUUGGCGGGUCAAAGUUGCCGCAAGUCUCACGACACAAUUCCGGCGUGCCCCCAAGACGAAUUGCAGCAGAUGCGUCGUUGAAACGAGGCCGCAGCCUGCAAUUUGGAACAGGGCAACCUUAGAUCUGUUGGGAAUCGCCCAGAGCAAUAUGUAUAUACUAUAUAUAUGUUAUAUAUAUAUAUAUAUGUGCUUAAAAGGAACUUUUUACUGGCGCUGCUUUUAUUUUCGCAUUUAAUGCAAUUAACCUCAAACUAAAUGGCAAUCACUUUAAUUUGUUUUAAUUAAGCUUUAUAUGCCUACAAGUGUGUCAGCCGGCGGGCGGGGCAGGGUUGCGAGCAGGGGAGGCAUUCCAAAAACAACGCCUACGUUGGCUGUUUAAUGACGUGUGAGGGAAAGAGAUUAAGACAGAGCGAGAGAGGGGAGAGAGAGAAUGCUUUCUAUUCGGAUUGACUGUGUGCAAGAGGGAAAGAGAGAGAGAGAGAGAUGUAGAUAGUACUUUUUAUUGACCCUCUAAGAGUUGGAGACAACAUUCCUGAGAACAAUAUGAUGAAAGAGAGAGAGAGAGAGAGAGAGAGAGAGAAAGAGAGAGUUCUGGCACACAAACUUGAAGAUAAUCUUCCUGGUGGCACUAUGAGCAUGUAUGCGAGAGAGAGAAAGAGACAGCGCUUUUCAUCCACCCUGUAAGAGUUGGAGAUAACAUAAAAGAAGAGGAUGGGCAUUGAGUACGCGCACUAAGUGGAUCCUUGACAUGUUCACGGAAUCGAGCACAAAAGGAGCCCGGAACGCAUGCGCGCGCACACGCAGCACUCGCUACUUAAGGAACGCUUAACGGAUGUUUCUCUGGGCACUUGUAACCCAAACGCCCGACAUUUGUUUCCUACAGAUCUGGUUUGGGCCUGAGCCCUAGCAACAGCCAGCCACGCCGGCUCUUGAGUCGCGUACGUGCCCAGAUGCGUGGGAAUGAUGUGGGACAACGAACGAGGGCGGCAACAGUCACUGCAUGGAGAGGGAGGGGCGGGCGAUAGGCUAGGGAAGAGGCGUGCUGGAGAGUGGACUCAAAGCGGGUAUACUCGAUCGAAAUUUGAGACUUCUUAAUGCGCCAAAUUAUAUGCGGCGACAGCAAUUCAGAGCCACAUUUCGAGGCAUAUUGACAGGGCUUGGGUCCUGCCAGCUUAAGAAGAAAUACGCAAGCGAAACGAUGUGAAAUUUAUGAAUGUGUACGAUUACACGAGCAUUUUCCACGGCCAUUCUGAAACGGAGGGAAACGCCGGGGGAACACGAAUGAACACGCGAUCUGCAAUCUGUGAAGGAUCACGUCUGGAAUGUGGCUUAAAUUAUGACUUAAAUGGCGUUGGCAGUUUAUGUGGCUGCCGUGUGCUGCGCCCAAUGAUCAUUAACGCGGCUCAUCAUGACGAUCGUGCUGCUUGCUGCGCUGCUUACUGCGCUGCUCGCUGCCUGCUGCUGAGUAGCGGAAACGACGCACUCGAGAGAUCUUGACUUCAAGCUGCGUCUCGUUGGCUUUCUUUCUCAAUGCUGUUUCGCCCAUUCUUAAGAGGUUCAACUCCAAUUUGGACUCAAACUCGGUCGCGCGGCUUUUUAUGACUGCCUCUCGAGUUGUUGUUGCUGUUGCUGUAAACUGGCUGCCUGAGUUUUGCUUUAUUUGGUUAGUUGACGAUAAAUUUUGCACAGUCGCACAUUCUUAGUUACAUCCUUCACAAGGUCAUGCGAGUGCGCAUAGCACACACAUACACUGUCACGCGCAUGCAUGCAUAUAUGCAUGUAUGCAUGUAUGCAUGUGUGUGUGCAUAUGUACGCAUGCUGUUGUUGUUGUUGUUGCAUUUAAGCCAAGUAAUCUUUAAGCAAAUAAUUGUAGUUGGUAUGCGGUUUCUGUUUGACUGGCCUCACUGCCCGCUCUCUGCCCCUCUGCCCGUCUGCCCCUUUGCCCGCCCGCUGUCAUCAUUUGUACACACCGGGCUGCUGCUUUAUGUUUGCACAAAUUGUUAGCGUCUGCCGCAGUCGAGAUACAGUUUGUUUUGCUUGUUGGUUCUUUUAUUUUUCAUAUUUUUUUCUCCAAGCUUUGCUUCGCAGCAUAUUCGAAAAUAUCAUAUGUAUGUGUAUGUGUGUGUGUGUGCGUUUCUCUGACUGUGUAAUGCAGGGCUACACUGGCCAGGCUUUCGAGCUCGAAUUCGAAUUCUAUUUAGCUAGGACUAUUGACUGUUCUGGCAAUUGGAAGCUCUUGCCUGCCAGUUGACAGUGUGCACCCACUUCUUGUCAAUGUUACCACCUCUUUUUUUUUAUACUCUAACUAUUCCACGUGUUGCGCCCUCCAGGUGCUGAUUAGCUGCUUGUCUGUCUGCCUUAGCCGGCGGCGUGUGGGGUGUUAAUAAGAUAUCAAAUACCCAUGUGGGCAAACUUAGAGGCAACCCAACCCGACUCUGGGCACACAAAAUCUCAGCCACAGCGCACACUAUGCUGCGCUGCUGGAAGAGUGCAACAAAAUGAACCUACACUAAACAACAAAAGU